GUUGUAUAAAGACAGAUGGUAAAUAUAAAAGCCCCAAUUUAAACUUUCAAACAAUCAACUCUGAAACCAUGAAGACAACUUGUGUGUAUCUGCUCCUCGGGCUGGUGCUGAUGGGGAUCUGGGAUUCUGAAGCUGAGUCUCAUGCGCCUCCAAUCCCUGCUAUGUGCUGCUUUUCCUUCAUUGGGUUUGCAAUUCCAGCCAAUAAAAUUAAAAGUGCUGUCGAAACAAGCAAAUCUUGUGUAAACAAAGCUAUUGUGGUCACCACUGAGAAGGGCAACAUGUUUUGUGUGAAACCAGAUGAGUCUUGGUUGCAAAGCAUUAAAAAAGAUUCAUAAAUGUUAAAUUUGCAUUUGGAACUUCUUGAAUUUCAUUUUUUUAAUAGUCGCUUUUUACUGUACUUGCCCUUUUAUUAAAAAAUAUACUUUACAAAGUGAUGAAAUAAAUGAUGCAUUGAUGCAAAUGAUGCAAAUUCUACAUGCUUGCUGAAAUUGAUAAUGAAUCAUAUAAAUGAAUAAUAAAAACAGAAGCUUAAAA